GUCUCUGGCCACACCACCCUGAACACACCUGAUCUCGUCUGAUCUCAGAAGCUAAUUGGGAUUGGGCCUGGUUAGUACCUGGGUGGGAGAAAAGAGCUUGACCUU
rnacentral:rRNA from 1 species